rnacentral:lncRNA from 1 species
CCCAACCCAUUUAGAAAAUAGAUCUUAUUUUUUGUCCAAGCCCAUUUUUCAGAUGUAAUAGGCCCAUUUUACCCGAGCCCGUAAAAAAACUAUACCAGAACCAAAAAUAGAAAAAUAAUAAUAAUAAAAAAUAAAGCCAUGAGCCAAAUAAAUUAAAAGUCCAAGUCCUUUUACAAAAAAUAAAGGCCCAAAACACUAACCCAAAUGCAAUAACAAAACAUAACCCGAAAUAGAAAUAAAACACUAGUUCAAAACCUAAAAUCCUAACCCAAUUUACAUACGGCCCAAAUGAGCUCAAAAUGAGAAAACACUAGAAACCCUAGAGGUUUCUGGAAUACGCAGUCCAAUAGCUAGCCAUGAAAUCGAGCCUCUCACGAACGGCCUCCCCACAAGUAGCUUGCUUCUCUGUACGUCUUCAUGUCAACAUAGAACCUGCGAGAACAGAAAUGCUAACAGAAUAUACAGCAAAUGAAAGUAGGAAAAUAGAAUUUUUCAUUUUUUAUUCAUUCUGUAAAUUCGGCAAUAAAAAGCCAUGUGCACACUGAAAUACGCAUACAAAAUAUCAGAAAGGAGCAAACAUAAAGUUAUAGAAAGGUGAUCCAAAAAUCUGUUUAUUUCUUUUUUGUUUCUUUCAAUUUGCUUGCAACAUUAGAAUAAAAAAUUGAAAAAGAUACUUGAAUUGAUGCUGAUGAAUGCCCAAGUAUCUAGGAAGUAUGGAGAUUUGGGGCGAGGGUCGAAUGUUUUUUUUCUUUCUAAUUUUUUCUUUGUUUUUCGGGAGAAUAAUAUACGAUUUGGGGUUUUUUUUUAAAAAAACAAAGAAAAGGAGAAAGAGUAGCUUACCAGAUCUCCAUGGGUGACCUUCGUUGGCAAGACCGGGUCGCUGCUUGCGCACCGUCGACCAUCAAACUGAAUAGUGGGUUCGGCGGCUGCUAGAAGGAAACCCUAGCAGAAUGAUUUCAAGGCUGUAGUUAUUUUAAUUAAAAGUUUGGCUGUGUUUAGAGAAGAAAAUAGGAGAAAAAGAGGUUUUAAUAACCCAUUAAAAAACGACGCCGUUUAAAGAAGGGAAAGAUCCGCGCGUUGACCCGAUCCGAAAGCGGAUCCGCGCCCUUUUGUUUCAGAUGGGUAAUUUGCGCGGUUAAUUCCUCCCCUUUGCAUCGCAUUUCAAUUGACUCUUAUUGGCAUCUUAUCUAUUUUUUUAAAUUUUCCCCAAAAGUCUGUGUGCUAUUUCAUUUUAGUCUGCGCCUAAGUGCUGCGUUUUGGGAUCUAGAAUAUUUCCAGCUUUG